rnacentral:misc_RNA from 1 species
GUUUUAUAUGAAGAUGAUGAUCUGGUAACUGUGUUACGGUGGAUUCUCUGUAAAUAUGUGCAUUUAAGCUCAUGCAUGAUUGACAUAACAUUUGUACUUUUUUGUUAUUAAUUGAAUUUUUAAUUCCCGAAUUGGUAAGUAUUUAGGACUCAAUUUCCCUUCCCCCCUUUUGAACUGCAACUUAAUUUUUAAUUUGUUAUGUUGAAUAUGUCAAUAUGACCACCAUUUAAGUAAAUGAUUCUGCAUUGUAUGCUCCAAAUCUCAGUAAAUGUUUGGGAUGUUCUUUAUAUACUUGUGAUUAUCCUGCUUUUAGUUUCUAAGAGCAUUUGAACAUGAAGGCUUAAGAAGAGCAAGAGACAUUUGCAUACAGUCUCAGCCACGCCAUGAAUCUUGCAUUAUAUUCUGUGAAAAAAAAAAAAAAA